GUCAAGAUGGCGCUGUGAGCAGACGUUGAACUCGCCUCCUCCCACGAGCACAACCAGGUUACAACAAUUUUGGGAAGAAUCACCCUGGAUUGAAAACGGAAAACUGGAUAAAAAGAACCCCCACGACAAGGGACAGUCCUGACGAAAGCAGAAGAAGGAGUGACUCGGGCCGGAGAGGAAAAAAGCCACCUUUGGGAGCAGCGGAGCCUCUCAGCUGGCCAGGCGGGAGCCAACCUAAGUGACUCCUGCUUUAUAUGAUAAAUAGACUUCCAUCCAGGAGCGGAUUCUGAAUUGCUGAACAGAAGGAGCUUGGGAGCAGCUCUCCAGUCGGAUGAGUUCACGUGUGUGGGGAGCAGAGGGCAGGUUCUAAGGGACUUGCCUGAAGCUGUGCCUGCAUUCCAGGCGUACAGUUUUUAUGUGGAUUGUAUGUUUAAUGUGGGGUGGUUUGGGGAAAAUAUUGAAAAUUUGGGCAAAUAUUCCUACAACCCCAAACCAAUGGUAAAAAAAAAAAAGACUAUCACAAUUUGGGGACCAUUACUUCCAUAAUCAAGACCUUGAUUACACCAAUAUGCUAAUAUAUAUAAGUGCAUCUCAUCUUUAUCAACAAUUAUCUAUUUUAUCUUAAAUCUUUUAGAAAAAAAGGAAGACUAUGGAAAAGUAUAAAAACAUAUUGACUAAAAUA
rnacentral:lncRNA from 1 species